AUGGAGAGACUUGUUAAUGUUCAUUACAUUGACAAGGAGGCAUUCUUGAGUAACAAUGCCGACACGGGUGAGGAACCAUUGGUUUUUGAUACAAGCCCUAGCUAUGAGGAUGUUGUUGCAAAAGUGAGACAAGUUUUGAAGUGGAUGGACACCAAUGUUGAUGUUAAGUUAAUAGGAAGGUAUGAUGUUGGAGUUGGAGCCAAAUCUCGCUUGAAAAGUAUGCCUAUCACCUUGGAUUUGCAUUGGGAUGUAUACAAGGAAAAAGUAUCCCAAUUGGAAGACAAGUCACUUGAAUUGUUUGCCACCAAGGUUGAAUCUCCUCGGUUUACCUUUGAUUUGAACCGGCAUGUAUCUUCCCCAAUGGAUGACAUGAGCGUUGAGUUGUAUGCCCCCAAUGCUUCUAGCCAACCACCAACUAGCCAA
rnacentral:rRNA from 1 species